rnacentral:rRNA from 1 species
CCCCUAGAUGUUCUGGGCCGCACGCGCGCUACACUGAACAGUUCAACAAGUCUUAACCUUGGCCGAUAGGUCUGGGUAAUCUUUGAACGCUGUUCGUGAUUGGGAUAGACCUUUGCAAUUAUGGGUCUUCAACGAGGAAUUCCUAGUAAACGCAAGUCAUCAGCUUGCAUUGAUUACGUCCCUGCCCUUUGUACACACCGCCCGUCGCACCUACCGAUUGAAUGGUCCGGUGAAAUCUCGGGACGGCGGCUCGGUCGCUUGCGUCCGACUGCUGAAACUUGAUUAAACCAUAUCAUUUAGAGGAAGGUGAAGUCGUANCA